rnacentral:lncRNA from 1 species
AAAAGAACCAAUUGGAUGAUGCUGACGAAUUAGGGUUUAACGUCCAGUGACAAAUAUCAUGUUCAUAUGUGAACGAGAACACGUUAUAUGUACGCUGUGUUGUAUUAGAAAGACACUUUCAGUCGGAAUUGAGAACGUGCUACUUCGUACAGACACAAAAAUUAAGGCUGAUUGAAAACGUCAAUAAAAAAUUCAUGCAUAUUCCAGAGGCCAAUCCAUAUCACGCUAUAUUGAAGUGACACACCCUUCAAUAAAAUGCAAAGAAAGUCAAAAUAAAAUGCUCUUUCUAGGAUACUGUGGCACCGUAUUGUCAUUUUUGUUUACUCAGGAACAUCUCAUUCCUAAAUUUUUCAAGGGGAAAAUAUAAAGGUAGCAAAAUUAUUGUCGUGGCUAAAUAACUCUUAACUGACACAAUUUCAAUUGUCCAACCCAUUAACAGACUUUAUUCCCAU